GAUGAACGCUGGCGGCGUGCCUAAUACAUGCAAGUCGAGCGAACAGACGAGGAGCUUGCUCCUCUGACGUUAGCGGCGGACGGGUGAGUAACACGUGGAUAACCUACCUAUAAGACUGGGAUAACUUCGGGAAACCGGAGCUAAUACCGGAUAAUAUAUUGAACCGCACGGUUCAAUAGUGAAAGACGGUUUUGCUGUCACUUAUAGAUGGAUCCGCGCCGCAUUAGCUAGUUGGUAAGGUAACGGCUUACCAAGGCGACGAUGCGUAGCCGACCUGAGAGGGUGAUCGGCCACACUGGAACUGAGACACGGUCCAGACUCCUACGGGAGGCAGCAGUAGGGAAUCUUCCGCAAUGGGCGAAAGCCUGACGGAGCAACGCCGCGUGAGUGAUGAAGGUCUUCGGAUCGUAAAACUCUGUUAUUAGGGAAGAACAAAUGUGUAAGUAACUAUGCACGUCUUGACGGUACCUAAUCAGAAAGCCACGGCUAACUACGUG
rnacentral:rRNA from 1 species